AUGAUGCACAUUCAAGGCAGCAAGCACACCACAUGUCGCAGCGCCGCCGUCAAACACAUGUGUGCAUCCGUGCGGUUGAUGCGUGUGUGCUUUAGGAAUGAGACCAUGGGGUCAGGGUCAGUGGAGGUGACAGACAGGGUUGAUUCGGAUAGGGCGUCCAAGUGGGCGCGCAAGAAGGAGAAAAUGUUGUGCUAUCGUUGUGGAGACAAGGGUCAUUUUAUUGCUGAGUGCGUGGCUGAACUAUGUGAUACUUGUGGCAAGCCCGCACAUGAUUUGGGGGAAUGUCCGCUUUUGCAUGAUCUGGCACCGUCCCUUAUGAUGUAUGGAGUGUAUUGUGCUGAACUCACGUUCUUUGAGUCUCCUAAUGAGAGGGAGGCUCCUGACAAGACCCAGAGCAUGACCACUGGGAUUGUCAAAGUUACCAGAGGAGAGGUCUCUGAGACGCAGAUUGUGCAGAGGCUGAAGGAGUUAGCUCCCAGUGACUUCCAGUGGGAGCUCGUUAGUCUCGAGGCAAAGUUGUUCAGGGUUGAGUUCCCUUCGGUGGAGAAUUUGCAGAGACUUCUGAGUUUUGGGAUGUGCAAAGUGCCAGGUACAGAUUGUAUCCUCGAGUUCCAUGAAUGGAAGAAGGUCGAGCCUCAAGGUAAGCCUCUUACUCAGGUUUGGCUGCGUUUUUCUGGGGCUCCCUCGAAGCUGAUGCAGAAUGCUAGGGUCGUGGCUAGUUUGGGCAUUAUGGUGGGGAAAACUGAGAGAGUGGAUAUGGCUUUUACCAGAGCUCACGGGGUAGCCCGACUGCUGGUUAGUGUUCUGGAUAUUGAGUUCGUGCCUGAUGUGGUCAAGUGGACAUAUCGAGGCCAGGUUUUUAAUCUCGUGAUUGAGUUUGAGGAUGAGAGUCUGUUCGCCGAGGCGGCUAACGGGACUGAUGUUGAUAUGCACAAAGGAGAUGACAGUUCGGGAGCUAAGGAGGCACCGGUCGAUGAUUCUGGAUGA
rnacentral:rRNA from 1 species